rnacentral:rRNA from 1 species
CUGGUGAUUAGAGUAGCGGACUGGUGAGUAACGCGUGGGUGACCUGCCUUGAGGAUGGGGAUAGCCGUUAGAAAUAGCGGGUAAUACCGAAUAAUGUUGCCUGGUUGUGACCGGGUAAAGAAAGGGGCUAUGGCCCCGCCUUAAGAUGGGCCCGCGUCCCAUUAGCUAGUUGGUAAGGUAAAGGCUUACCAAGGCGAUGAUGGGUAGCCGGCCUGAGAGGGUGAACGGCCACACUGGGACUGAGAUACGGCCAGACUCCUAUGGGAGGCAGCAGCUAAGAAUAUUCCGCAAUGGACGAAAGUCUGACGGAGCGACGCCGCGUGGAUGAGGAAGGCCGAAAGGUUGUAAAAUCCUUUUGCGGAUGAAGAAUAAGCAGUGGAGGGAAUGCCAUUGUGAUGACGUUAGUCCGUGAAUAAGACCCCGGCUAAUUAC